rnacentral:rRNA from 1 species
GAUGAACGCUGGCGGCGUGCCUAACACAUGCAAGUCGAACGGAAAGGCCCUGCUGUUGUCGGGUGCUCGAGUGGCGAACGGGCGAGUAACACGUGAGUAACCUACCCUUGAAUUAGGGUUAACUUCAGGAAAGUAGGGCGAAUACAGGCUAGGAGCUCUUGCUGCUUGGUGGGGGUUGGAGAGUUACGGCGGUUUGGGAUGGACUCGCGGGUUAUCAGCUUGUUGGUGGGGUAGUGGCGUCUCAAGGGUUUGACGGGUAGCCGGCCUGAGAGGGUGACCGGGGACAUUGGGACUGAGAUACGGCGCAGACUCCUACGGGAGGCAGCGGAGGGGAGUAUUGCGCAAUAGGGGGGAGCCUGUGACGGCGACGCCGCGUGCGGAAUAACGGGCUUCGAGGUGUGAACCGCUUUCGCCUGAGACGAAGCGUCAGUGACGGUAACGUAUAAAGAAGCACCGGCUAACUACGUG